rnacentral:rRNA from 1 species
CCUACGGGAGGCAGCAGUGGGGAAUAUUGCGCAAUGGGCGAAAGCCUGACGCAGCAACGCCGCGUGAGGGAUGAAGGUCUUCGGAUCGUAAACCUCUGUCAGCAGGGAAGAACGGUCACUGUGCUAAUCAGCAGUGAAUUGACGGUACCUGCAAAGGAAGCACCGGCUAACUCCGUGCCAGCAGCCGCGGUAAUACGGAGGGUGCGUGCGUUGAUCGGAUGUAUUGGGCGUAAAGCGAUCGUAGGCGGUAAGUCAAGUCUAGGGUGAAAGCCCCGGGCUCAACGUGGGAACUGCAUUUGAAACUGGCAAACUUGAGUGUAGGAGAGGAUAGUGGAAUUCCAGGUGUAGGGGUGAAAUGCGUAGAUAUCUGGAAGAACAUCAGUGGCGAAGGCGGCUCUCUGGCCCGUAACUGACGCUGAGGCGCGAAAGCGUGGGUAGCAAACAGGAUUAGAUACCCGAGUAGUC